rnacentral:rRNA from 1 species
UACAGAGGGUGCGAGCGUUGUUCGGAAUUAUUGGGCGUAAAGGGCGCGUAGGCGGUCAGCACAAGUCAGUUGUGAAAUCUCCGGGCUUAACUCGGAAAGGUCAACUGAUACUGUGCGACUAGAGUGCAGAAGGGGCAACUGGAAUUCUUGGUGUAGCGGUGAAAUGCGUAGAUAUCAAGAGGAACACCUGCGGCGAAGGCGGGUUGCUGGGCUGACACUGACGCUGAGGCGCGAAAGCCAGGGGAGCGAACGGG